UACGAAGGGGGCUAGCGUUGCUCGGAAUCACUGGGCGUAAAGCGCACGUAGGCGGCUUUCUAAGUCGGUGGUGAAAUCCUGGAGCUCAACUCCAGAACUGCCUCCGAUACUGGAAGGCUCGAGUCCGGGAGAGGUGAGUGGAACUGCGAGUGUAGAGGUGAAAUUCGUAGAUAUUCGCAAGAACACCAGUGGCGAAGGCGGCUCACUGGCCCGGUACUGACGCUGAGGUGCGAAAGCGUGGGGAGCAAACAGG
rnacentral:rRNA from 1 species